UACGGAGGGUGCAAGCGUUAUUCGGAUUUACUGGGCGUAAAGGGCGCGUAGGCGGUUGAUCAAGUCAGAUGUGAAAGCCCGGGGCUCAACCCCGGAAGUGCAUCUGAAACUGGUCGGCUUGAGUAUGGUAGAGGGAAGUGGAAUUCCUGGUGUAGCGGUGAAAUGCGUAGAUAUCAGGAGGAACACCGGUGGCGAAGGCGACUUCCUGGACCAAAACUGACGCUGAGGCGCGAAGGUGUGGGGAG
rnacentral:rRNA from 1 species